rnacentral:rRNA from 1 species
UACGGAGGGUGCAAGCGUUAUCCGGAUUCACUGGGUUUAAAGGGUGCGUAGGUGGGUUGGUAAGUCAGUGGUGAAAUCUCCGAGCUUAACUUGGAAACUGCCAUUGAUACUAUCAGUCUUGAAUAUUGUGGAGGUUAGCGGAAUAUGUCAUGCAGCGGUGAAAUGCUUAGAUAUGACAUAGAACACCAAUUGCGAAGGCAGCUGGCUACACAUAUAUUGACACUGAGGCACGAAAGCGUGGGGAUCAAACAGG